GCCAGAGUGGUAUAGUGGUUUGAGCACUAGACUAUGACUCUGGAGAACAGGGGUUGAAUGCCUGCUCAGCCA